rnacentral:rRNA from 1 species
AUUCUUCGGAUGAAGACUUUUGUGACUGAGCGGCGGACGGGUGAGUAACGCGUGGGUAACCUGCCUCAUACAGGGGGAUAACAGUUAGAAAUGACUGCUAAUACCGCAUAAGACCACAGGGUCGCAUGACCCGGUGGUAAAAACUCCGGUGGUAUGAGAUGGACCCGCGUCUGAUUAGCUAGUUGGUGGGGUAACGGCUCACCAAGGCGACGAUCAGUAGCCGACCUGAGAGGGUGACCGGCCACAUUGGGACUGAGACACGGCCCAAACUCCUACGGGAGGCAGCAGUGGGGAAUAUUGCACAAUGGGGGAAACCCUGAUGCAGCGACGCCGCGUGAAGGAUGAAGUAUUUCGGUAUGUAAACUUCUAUCAGCAGGGAAGAAAAUGACGGUACCUGACUAAGAAGCCCCGGCUAACUACGUGCCAGCAGCCGCGGUAAUACGUAGGGGGCAAGCGUUAUCCGGAAUUACUGGGUGUAAAGGGUGCGUAGGUGGCAUGGUAAGUCAGAAGUGAAAGCCCGGGGCUUAACCCCGGGACUGCUUUUGAAACUGUCAUGCUGGAGUGCAGGAGAGGUAAGCGGAAUUCCUAGUGUAGCGGUGAAAUGCGUAGAUAUUAGGAGGAACACCAGUGGCGAAGGCGGCUUACUGG